rnacentral:RNase_P_RNA from 1 species
UGAGACGGUCGGGCGGUCGCGGCGCGUUUCGGCGCGCUGAGGAAAGUCCGAACUCCGUGGGACAGGGCGCUGGGGAAAUCCCAGGAGGGGGCGACCUUUCGGAUAGCGCCACAGAAACAUACCGCCGCGCCGAUCCUCGGACCGGCGCGGUAAGGGUGAAAUGGUGCGGUAAGAGCGCACCAGCGGCUGGGCGACCACGCCGGCUGGGCAAGCCCCGCCUGGAGCAAGGCCAAAUAGGAGGGCAUAUGGCGCGUCCCACGCCGCCCUCGGGUAGGUCGCAUAGAUAGAUGGCCGCCGCCCGUCGCGAGACGGGUACAGAAUUCGGCUUAUAGACCGUCUGAUUGC